rnacentral:rRNA from 1 species
AUGGAAUGGAGCAGAGCUUGGGGCAGUCGACGCAGACAACAGAAGCGACGGGACUUCGGCACGGCAGGGAGCUCGGCGGACGGGGUUGAGCUGGAGGAGCUCGGUGCAUCAGGUGCGGGACGCGCGGACAACGACGAGGAUGCAGGGGAGGCCCGGGCAGCGCGCGGGGCUGCUGCUGCUGGCCGACGGCCACCGGUGCGAGGAUGGGUGCCCUCGGCGCUUGGGCAGAGGAGAGGUUGGAUCGAUGGAUUUGGAAGUCUCGGUGGUGGCUGGUUGGGAGGAGAUCCCGAGGUGGGAGAUGAGUGCGGCGGUGGCAGGGACAAAUCCCCUAGAAUUUAG